rnacentral:rRNA from 1 species
UACGUAGGUGGCAAGCGUUGUCCGGAUUUAUUGGGUUUAAAGGGUGCGUAGGCGGUCUUCUAAGUCAGUGCUGAAAUAUCCCGGCUUAACCGGGAGGGUGGCAUUGAUACUGGGAGACUUGAGUAAAGUUGAGGUAGGCGGAAUUGACGGUGUAGCGGUGAAAUGCUUAGAUAUCGUAAGGAAGACCAGUGGCGAAGGCGGGUCUCUGGACAGUUCCUGACGCUGAGGCACGAAGGUCAGGGGAGCAAACGGGG